rnacentral:snRNA from 1 species
AUCGCUUCUCGGCCUUUUGGCUAAGAUCAAGUGUAAAAUUUAUAAUACUAAUUGUUUUGAGUUUAUGCUAAUUAAAGAGCAGUAAACUCAGAAAAACAUCCUUUUUUACUACUUAAAGUCAGAUUUAUAAAUUC